UAUCCAGGUCAGUAUUGAACGAAGUCCUUUCUCAUUUUUAUAUUUAAUUAGAAUUUAAUAAUUAAUUUAUAUUUUUGCUCUUUAAAAUUUACAUAACAGAAUCAGAUAGAAGACGAGAACAACGUAGAAACUGUAAUUUAAUUACAGCCCAAAAAAAAACUAGAAUAAAGCUACUAAGGGCAUACGGUGGAUGCCUUGGC
rnacentral:misc_RNA from 1 species